rnacentral:rRNA from 1 species
GUGCCAGCCGCCGCGGUAAUACGAAGGUCCCAAGCGUUGUUCGGAAUCACUGGGCGUAAAGGGAGCGUAGGCGGCGUGGUAAGUCAGAUGUGAAAUCCCGGGGCUCAACCCCGGAACUGCAUCCGAUACUGCCAUGCUUGAGGGUUGGAGAGGUAGCUGGAAUUCUCGGUGUAGCAGUGAAAUGCGUGGAUAUCGAGAGGAACACUCGUGGCGAAGGCGAGCUACUGGACAACAUCUGACGCUGAGGCUCGAAGGCUAGGGGAGCAAAAGGGAUUAGAAACCCCCGUAGUCC